UACGUAGGGUGCAAGCGUUAAUCGGAAUUACUGGGCGUAAAGCGUGCGCAGGCGGUUCUAUAAGACAGAUGUGAAAUCCCCGGGCUUAACCUGGGAACUGCAUUGGUGACUGCAUUGCUGGAGUAUGGCAGAGGGGGGUGGAAUUCCACGUGUAGCAGUGAAAUGCGUAGAGAUGUGGAGGAACACCGAUGGCGAAGGCAGCCCCCUGGGCCAAUACUGACGCUCAUGCACGAAAGCGUGGGGAGCAAACAGG
rnacentral:rRNA from 1 species